rnacentral:rRNA from 1 species
AACGAACGCUGGCGGCAGGCCUAACACAUGCAAGUCGAACGCUGCAGCAAUGCAGAGUGGCAGACGGGUGAGUAACACGUGGGAACCUUCCCAAUGGUACGGAAUAGCUCAGGGAAACUUGAGGUAAUACCGUAUACGCCCGAAAGGGGAAAGAUUUAUCGCCAUUGGAUGGGCCCGCGUCGGAUUAGCUAGUUGGUGAGGUAACGGCUCACCAAGGCUACGAUCCGUAGCUGGUUUGAGAGAACGACCAGCCACACUGGGACUGAGACACGGCCCAGACUCCUACGGGAGGCAGCAGUGGGGAAUAUUGGACAAUGGGCGCAAGCUUGAUCCAGCCAUGCCGCGUGAGUGACGAAGGCCUUAGGGUUGUAAAGCUCUUUUGGCGGGGACGAUAAUGACGGUACCCGCAGAAUAAGCCCCGGCUAACUUCGUGCCAGCCGCCGCCGUAAUAC